AACGAACGCUGGCGGCGCGCCUAAUACAUGCAAGUCGAGCGAGAAGGUGUAGCAAUACACUUGUAAAGCGGCGAACGGGUGAGGAAUGCAUGGGUAACCUACCCUCGAGUGGGGAAUAACUAGCCGAAAGGUUAGCUAAUACCGCAUACGUUUCCGGGACUUCGGUUCCGGAAAGAAAGCAAUACCGUGGGUAUUGCGCUCAUGGAUGGGCUCAUGUCCUAUCAGCUUGUUGGUGAGGUAAUGGCUCACCAAGGCUUCGACGGGUAGCUGGUCUGAGAGGACGAUCAGCCACACUGGCACUGCGACACGGGCCAGACUCCUACGGGAGGCUG
rnacentral:rRNA from 1 species